UACGAAGGGUGCAAACGUUGCUCGGAAUUAUUGGGCGUAAGGCGCACGUAGGCGGCAUUGCAAGUCGGAUGUGAAAUCCCAUGGCUUAACCAUGGAAGUGCAUCCGAAACUGCAGUGCUUGAGUACUUAAGAGGAUCGCGGAAUUCCCGGUGUAGAGGUGAAAUUCGUAGAUAUUCGCAAGAACACCAGUGGCGAAGGCGGCUCACUGGCCCGGUACUGACGCUGAGGUGCGAAAGCGUGGGGAGCAAACAGG
rnacentral:rRNA from 1 species